rnacentral:rRNA from 1 species
UACGUAGGGUGCAAGCGUUGUCCGGAAUUAUUGGGCGUAAAGAGCUUGUAGGCGGUUUGUCGCGUCUGCCGUGAAAUUUCGGGGCUCAACCCCGAACUUGCGGUGGGUACGGGCAGACUAGAGUGUGGUAGGGGGAGACUGGAAUUCCUGGUGUAGCGGUGAAAAUGCGCAGAUAUCAGGAGGAACACCGAUGGCGAAGGCAGGUCUCUGGGCCACUACUGACGCUGAGAAGCGAAAGCAUGGGGAGCGAACAGGAUUAGAAC